UGGACACAGCUGAAGUGACUUAGCGUGCACACGCAUGCAGGAAGUCUCAGCUUAAAAACAUCUUGCCUUUGCAGUGACACGUGGUUUAAAUCUUACUACUGAAGAGUUAUUGUUUUGGGCAAACACUGCUCUCUCAAACAACAUUCUUCAAAUGUGCUGAACCAUCCCUGUACUGAGCAGCUGGAGGUCUGGGUUCCCACUAGGAGCCACCACAGAGAUGUGACCUUCAAAUUCAGUGUUUUGUGAACUGCCUACAGCUGAGACGGAAUUGAGGCAUCAGCUCCCAUGAACAAUGCCAGAAACACAUUCUCUUGCAGUUUUCCAUCUCACGUUUACCAGGUGUCUCCAGAAUUAAAGAGAAGCGAAAAGGAACUUCAACUAUAUUAGUAUCAUGGUUAACCAUGCCAGAAAUUAUGGCAAGAGGCUAUUCCCCUGAGUACAUCAGAUAAGAAGACUUACUUCUCCACAUUGCAGCUAAAGUAAGGAACAGCUCUGUCGCUGACUGCAUCCUUUGACAAGACCUGUUGUUUUACAAAUCCC
ensembl:lncRNA